UUAAAAAAAAAAAAAAGAAACUGGUUAAAUGAAUGAAUGAAUGAAUCAACCAUGCAGAGGGUAAAGGCCAACAGGCAGCUUCUGAUGAUGUUGGAUACUCUGCUCAUUUCCCCACCAGUGUAAAACCUUGAAUUAAUGGAGGAGGUGGUUGGGGUGGGGGCAGGAUUAGCUUGUAAAUAGGAUGCAAUAAAUACAGGGGAGGUAUAAUAGCCUGUAUUUAUUGGGCAUCAACUAUAUGCCAAGGAUUCUUCAUGUUUAUCUCUACUCCUUAUGAAUACCCUGCAAGGUAGGUGUCUUUAUCCCCAUUUUACAGAAGAAUGAGUUGCCCAGUGAUGGCUUUAUGCUACCAUCAGUUGAAGAUCCAAGAUGGAAACCUAAAGUCCACAUUUUUCCUGCUAUGCCAAGCUACCCUUAAACAGGUAGUGUAUUCUCUCUGAGCAGGCCUGUGUUGCCUGAGUUUUAAUCCAAGACGUUGCAAUAAUCUCUCAUCUUCAGGUGGACUCCUGACUUGGCUGAUGCUCCUUUUGGUUUAGCUUUGUUGUUAAAUUAGUCUGUUCCUGCACAGUACCACUUAUAUAAGGAUUUCACAGCACAUUACGAUCAAGUGCCUUGAACAUACAGUGGCAAUGAAGUUGUUUCUCCCAGUUGAAGAUGAAAAGACUGCAGCAGAAGGAAGUUAUGUGACUCGUUAGAGAAUGUAAAGGAGUGAGUCAUUGAUGGAGCGUGUAUGGAAAUGAGGCGUUUAGGAGACUGUUAGGGGAACUGAUAUGGAUCCGGGACAUACAAUAGUAGGCAUCUAUUGCUGUAGUUGUGAAAUUGUUUAAUGCUUUUUGCUUCUUCAACUUCAAUGCUUAUAACUGUAUGUCCCAGAAUGCAACAAAGCAAUGCCAAGAGACUGUAGACCACAUGGAACACAGAUGUCAAUCACAGGUCAUUCUGCCUACUAGAGAUGAGUUUGUCUUUUUGUGAGGCUACUGGAUCCUAUUUGUGACCCAUGUUUCUACUAACACUUUUGCGGACCCUCUAUUUACAAGAGUCUCUACAUGGUCAAGGGUGUGAGGAGGAGCGAGCAGUCAGAAAGGUGCAGAGGUCCUUCCUGGACCUUUCCUUUUACGUUUAUUAGAUGAUAUCUUUCAUUUGCCACAUCCUUCCAGCAGAUGGGUGGAUUACAUCCUCCAGGUGAAAGAUGAGAGCAGAAGAGCUAAUUUGGCUGACUGCUACUUCCUAUGGGACCUCAGGUCCUUGUAAGGGGCCCAGCUGCCCCAGUGGUCUAUGGUCUCUGGAAAAUGGAAAUAGAAAAACAUCCUGCCCCUACUUUUAACAAACUGUGGAGUUCCUGGCUUAUUUUCUAAAUCAACAUGUUGGUGAAUGUACUGAUGGAGCUUGGGAGGUGGUGUAGUUUUGAGUGAUGAAGUGUGGAAGUGUUUUGAGCCAUGGUCACCUGUUAGGCUAGAAUUCCCCAUGGAGGCCCUCCUCUUUGUGACUUGUAUACCUUUAUUCUUCCCCCUCCAAACCCCAAAUAGACACAGUAAUAGAGAAACACCACUAGGCAGACUAAUAUCUGAUAAGUGCUACCCUUAUUAUCCCAAAUGACUUGAGAAAAGAAAUUGAAGACAUAGUGACUUUUCCAUGAAUAUACUAAGAAGGAUGAGGGAAGAGGCAGAGUUUGGUCCUUUUCUGGUCAUAGGGAAGGAGAGAGAUGGUAUGUCUGAAAUAAUCCAUUUUGCUUUUUCCAUUUACUGCCUUAAAAAAUAAAAGUAAAAUAUGAACCCACAGAUGAGGAAGAGCUCGAGAAAAAUAAAUGAAAUGCUGAGGAAUUGGCAUACCCCUCCCGAAGAAGGUAGGUUUGCCAGGAAUUUUGUGGGGGAAAGAAGAAACAAUGCAGUAAUACCCAUAUGCAUAUCUGUGGAGGCAGGAAAUGCUUUUUGAAAAUUAAAUUUCAAACAGACAGUGAUGAUUUUGAUAUUGAGACACUUGGACAGAGAAAACCCAGGACGAAUUUCAAAAUUUUGCUUUCUAAUAUUCAUCUCCUUUCCUUCCAGGAAGCAAAAUUUAUGAACUUCAGAAUUAAAUUCAAAGGAUAUAGUACUUGGUGAAUUGCACAAAGGAUCACUCAAUCCUUCCAACCGAGGAGAGAAACUGUGAUUGGAAAGCUCCCUUCCCAAAGGUGUGCCCCCUGAAUUCUGGGAUUGCAUAAUGUGAGUGCAAAUGAAAGUCAAGUCAAUGAAAGCAGUCAAGGAGGGACAAGAGAGGAGGGAGGGUAUUUCCAGAGGAGAUUUGAAAUGAGAUCCCGGGUUGAUGAGGCAAAGACAUACAGGAUGGUUGUUCAAAUGACAGGAGCUACAGAAGAUGUGCCUCUGUGUUUGUCUUUAUGAAGAGAGAAAAGCUUAAACGGACAGGAACACCAAAUAUUAAAAGUACUAUAUACAGCACAAAACAUUGUUUUAAAAUCUGAAAAUGCUACAAGAACACAGAUUUCACUUUAAAUAAUUUUGCUGAACAUGAUUUUCAAAAGUGAAUGAGUAAUUUUACAUGGUAUGGUGGUAUAGUGGUUGAAUUGUGGCCCCCAAAAAGAGUCUCCACGUUCUAACCCCCAGGACCUGUGAAUGUGACCUUUUUGGGAAAAAGCAUAUUUACUAGUGUAAUUAAGUUAAAGAUAUUUAGAUGAGAUCAUCUUAGAUUACCUGGGUGGGCCCUAAAUCCAUUGACAACUGUCCUUAUAAGAGAUAAAAGAGAAGACAGACACACAGAGCGAGAAGGUGUUGUGAAGAACGGGGCAGAGAUUGGAGCGAUGCAGCCACAGGGCAAGGAAUGCCUGAAGCCACCAGCAGCUGGAAGAAGGAUUCUCUCCUAGAGAUUUCAGAGGGAGCAUGCUCUGCAAACACUUUGAUUUUGGACUUCUGGCCUCCAGAACUGUAAGAGAAUAAAAUUUCCU